rnacentral:rRNA from 1 species
GACAGAGGGUGCAAACGUUGUUCGGAAUUACUGGGCGUAAAGCGAGUGUAGGCGGUCCGCUAAGUCGGGUGUGAAAGCCCCGGGCUCAACCUGGGAAUUGCAUUCGAGACUGAAUAGCUAGGGUACGGUAGAGGGAAGCGGAAUUUCCGGUGUAGCGGUGAAAUGCGUAGAUAUCUGGAGGAACACCGGUGGCGAAGGCGGCAUCCUGGACCGGCAUUGACGCUGAGGCGCGAAAGCCAGGGGAGCAAACGGG